AGCCUGUUGGUCGAGCGGUAAGACGCUUACCAGAACAGAGCCCCCUCUUCAUGAGGGGGCUCUGGCGCUGCGAGAGAUGCCGGGUUCGAACCCCGGACGGGCUG